UUUGUUAAAACGCUUAAUCUCUCGUCGUGUUCGUUCCACAGCAAUGGCAGAAACUCAGUGCACAGAAACUACAAAACUAGAUCUUGAUUCCGGGAAUCUACUUCAGAAUCCGAGCAAAGCAUCUCUAGAUCCGAUCAGAUCCGCUCCGUUUCUCUCCUCCUUCAACUCAGUGGAAUGCAUUGCUAGAAUCUAGAGAGAACACGCCGGAGAAAAACAAACCAUGAGAAUGUCAUCGGCUUCUGCCGCCGUUUCGCUCGGAAGCAGCGGUCAAAGAGACGCUGAGUCCCUCCUCCGCACCAAACCGAUGUCGGAGAUCCGUAGCGUUGAGUCGGCGACUAGGAAGAACAUCGAGGACAAGAAGGAGGAGCUCCGGCAACUCGUCGGGACUCGGUACCGAGAUCUAAUCGACUCGGCUGACUCGAUCGUUCACAUGAAGUCGCUCUGCGAGUCGAUCUCGGCGAACAUCAGCUCGAUCCACGGCAACAUUCGAUCGCUCUCCUCCUCGUCGGAAGCGAAAACCCCGCGCUCGCUAUCACUGACCGGCCCGAGUCAAUGUGUAUGGGAUCGCGUGUCGGGUCAAGUAUCUGGUGGAUACCGGAGAGAAUAUAUGGGGCUGCCUCGACGAGUCCAUGUUUCUAGAAGCUGCUGGGAGGUACAUGCGUGCUCAGCACGUGCAGCAGAGACUGUUAAGUUGGAGGAGGUGGAUCAGAGUAAACUGUUGGCUAAUUUCCGUUGCUUGAGCAUCAGUGGCAGAUAGUGGAGGGCUUCAAGGCUCAGAUUUCUCAGAGGAGCCACGAACGGCUUCUUGAUCCGGGUUUGGGGUUGGGGGAUUACGCGUGGACGCGUUAACUGCUGUAGCAGUGGUUGAUGAGCUUGAUCCGAAGGAGGUUCUUGAGUUGUUUCUCGACUCGAGGAAGACUUGGGUUCUGCCAAAAGUUGAAUGCUUGUAGUGGUGAUGAUGCUGGGAGUGUGUUUCGGUGUUUGUGAUGUGUUGAGUGUGGUUCAGGUUACUGUGGGACAAGUUGGUGAGCUUUUUUUGCAAGCGUUGACUGAUAUGCCUCUGUUUUAUAAGACGAUUUUGAGUACACCUCCGGCUUCUCAGCUGUUUGGUGGGAUUCCGAAUCCGAAAGAGGAGGUUGCGUUGUGGAAAUUGUUUAGAGAUAAUUUGGAAUCUGUUAUGGUUAUUUUUGAGAAAGUUGAUAUUUCUAAGGCGUGUCUGGCAUGGUUGAGGGAAUGCGGUGGACAUAUUGUUGGUAAGGUUAGUGGGAAGCGUUUGAUUGAAGCUAUUGUUACUGGUGCAGAGCUUGGAUCAGCGGAAAAGUUGAUAAGGGAGACCAUGGAUAGUAAAGAGGUAUUGAGUGGUAGUUUAGAUUGGCUUAAAAGUGUUUUUGGGUCUGAGAUAGAGCUACCUUGGAAUAGAAUCCGGGAGCUUGUUCUGGACGACGAUUUGAACCUGUGGGAUGAAAUAUUUGAGGAGGCCUUUGUGGAAAGAAUGAAAUGCAUUAUUGACUCUAGAUUUGAGGAAUUGGCUAAAGCUGUCAAUGUGGCAGAGUCGGUUCGUGCUUUUAGCGAGAUCACUGAUGAGAAGAUCAACUUCCAAGCAUACUUAAACAGACCUUCUACAGGUGGUGGUGUCUGGUUCAUCGAGCCUAACGCUAGGAAACCUGGUUUUAUUGCCGGAAACAAAACGUCACCUGAAGAAAGCGACUUCCAAAGUUGUCUAACGGCGUACUUUGGUCCUGAAGUUAGCCAAAUCAGAGAUGCAGUUGAUCACCGCUGCCAGAAUGUUUUAGAAGACCUCCUAAGCUUCUUUGAUUCAGAAAAGGCAGGUCCGAGGUUAAAGGAUCUUGCUCCAUACGUGCAGAAUAAAUGUUAUGACAGUGUCUCAGCAAUUCUCGCAGAUGUGGAUAAGGAACUCGAAUCUCUCUGUGCUGCCAUGAAGAAAGGGAACAACGACAGCGAAGCAAUUCCACCUGCUAUAAUAAUUGAGAAAUCUCUUUUUAUGGGACGCCUCUUGUUUGCAUUGCUGAACCACUCGAAACACGUUCCCUUGAUUCUCGGUUCUCCAAGAUUGUGGUGUAGAGAAACUAUGAAUGCAGUUUCUGAUAAGUUGUCAUCCUUGUUGAGGCAACCAAGAUUUGGCUCGAAUACUCCAGGUGCUGCUGACAGCCCGGGAAAGCAGUUGCAUGCCGAUCUUAGGAAGCAGAGUUCGUUAGCUGUUGCCGCGCUACUUAAGGCAGAUGAGAAGACAAGUCCGAAAUUUGAAGAGCUUAAUAAAACUAUGCGUGAUCUGUGCAUUAAGGCUCAUACAUUGUGGAUACAGUGGUUAUCGGAAGAGCUCUCCGCUAUUUUCUUGCGUGAUCUUACGAUUGACGAUGGACUGUCUGCUACAACUCCUUUAAGGGGGUGGGAAGAGACAAUAGUCAAGGAAGAGCAGGGCGAGAGUGAGUUGAAGAUAUCACUUCCGUCCUUGCCUUCGCUCUAUAUAAUUUCAUUUCUUUGUCGAGCAUCAGAAGAGAUCCAUCGAAUUGGAGGCCAUGUACUGGAUAAGUCAAUUUUGCAAAAGUUUGCUUCAAGCCUGUUGGAGAAGAUCAUCAUUAUUUAUGAGGAUUUCUUAUCUGCCAGGGAGGCCAACGAACCCCAAAUUUCAGAGAAGGGGGUUUUACAAAUUUUACUGGAUUUGAGAUUUGCAUCGGACAUUCUUUCUGGGGGUGAUACAAGCACCAAUGUGGAGAUACAACCAAAGAUCACAAUGAACAGAUCAGCUUUCAGGCGAAAGCAGGGCCAACAGCAAACAAAGUCAGUCAACAGAGGUCGCAUUGAUGGAGUAAUCUCCCAACUGACCCAAAAGUUGGAUCCUAUAGACUGGCUCACGUACGAGCCUUAUCUUUGGGAGAACGAAAAGCAGUCAUACCUACGCCACGCAGUACUAUUUGGAUUCUUUGUGCAACUAAACCGAAUGUACACAGAUACUUCCCAGAAACUACCAAGUAACUCAGAGUCAAAUAUCAUGCCAUGCUCCACAGUUCCCCGCUUCAAAUACCUUCCCAUAAGCGCUCCGGCUCUGUCCUCUAGAAGUACAAAUAAGGUCUCCACUCCAGUUACAUCAAAUGAAAGUUCGUCAAGAAACUCAUGGAAUGCAUUUACAAAUGGCGAGCUUUCUCAAACAAGUGAUUUGGAAGAUGACUCCAGUUUCGGCGUGGCUUCCCCGUUCUUAAAGUCUUUCAUGCAGGCUGGUAGUAGAUUUGGGUCAAUACUAAGUGACGGACAAGUUGGAAUAUUCAAGGAUAGAUCAGCAGCCGCUAUGUCGACAUUUGGGGAUAUAAUACCAUCUCAAGCAGCCGGUUUACUCUCUUCUUUCACAACCACCAGGUACGAGUGAUGAUAUGACGAUCUUCGGUUUUGUGAGUCUAAACCGAUGAUGAUUGCAGCAGUUGAGAUAUCUGCCAUUAUAGAAGUUUUUACAUUAAAGAAGAGAACAAGUUUUGUAACUCUGUUUGAUUUAUUGUUUCAUGUAAUUAAGAGAUUUGGUUCUACAAAAAUCCUCAGACUGAAUACAAUCAAACCCUCAUACAUAUAAAGUUUUAAUAUCAUUGCAAAAAAAACUGAUUAAGGUA